rnacentral:rRNA from 1 species
UGGGGAAUCUUGCGCAAUGGGGGAAACCCUGACGCAGCAACGCCGCGUGGGUGAUGAAGGCCUUCGGGUCGUAAAGCCCUGUCAGGUGGGAAGAAACAUGUCGAUUCGAAUAGGACCGACAUUUGACGGUACUACCGGAGGAAGCACCGGCUAACUCCGUGCCAGCAGCCGCGGUAAUACGGAGGGUGCAAGCGUUGUUCGGAAUUAUUGGGCGUAAAGCGCGUGCAGGCGGUUGAGUAAGUCAGAUGUGAAAGCCUUCCGCUUAACGGAAGAAGUGCAUUUGAAACUGCUCGGCUAGAGUACGGGAGAGGAGAGUGGAAUUCCCGGUGUAGAGGUGAAAUUCGUAGAUAUCGGGAGGAACACCAGUGGCGAAGGCGGCUCUCUGGUCCGAUACUGACGCUGAGACGCGAAAGCGUGGGGAGCAAACAGG